GCCGCUGCAGCCCACUUGGUAGUGGCGUCGCCUCUGCAUAUGGCGAAGGUUACUGGUUCAAAUCCAGCCUGCGGUG